ensembl:lncRNA
CUCGUUCUUUCAGUGGAUUCCUAUUCACAGUCACUCUGACCAUUACUGUGUUAAUUUUCAAAUAUUUUUACUGUAUAGUUUUGGAAAAAAUUAAUGGCAAAAUCAUGCCAAAAUCAAAGUGUAUUCUAGCUGCUGCACCAUUACCCAUUUUCAAAAACUCAUAAAAAUCUUUGCUUUAUAGGUUUGCUCUUUCUUUCAGUGGAUUCUUAUUCACAGUCACCCUAACCAUUACUGAGUUAAUUUUCAAAUAUUUUUACUGUAUAGUUUUGGAAAAAAUUAAUGGCAAAAUCAUGCCAAAAUCAAAGUGUAUUCUAGCUGUUGCACCAUUACCCAUAUUCAAACACUCAUAAAAAUCUUUGCUUUAUAGGUUUGCUUGUUCUUUCAGUUGAUUCCUAUUCACAGUCACUCUGACCAUUAGUGUAUUAAGUUUCAAAUAUUUUUACUGU